CCACUCAUUAUGCUGCUACGGGCCUGAUGACAUAGAUUUCAUUGCUGAGUUAUACUGCAUUGUACGUAAAAUCAUCGUACCUGAAUCCACUCAUUAUGCUGCUACGGGCCUGAUGACAUAGAUUUCAUUGCUGAGUUAUACUGCAUUGUACAUGUUUCAGGAAACACCAUACACUUCUCCAGAGUGUCUGUUGGCAAUUUACAUCCCGCCCAUCAGCAUAACAAGGCUCCCAGUUCUCCAUGGCCUGUCCUGCCUUUCU